rnacentral:lncRNA from 1 species
ACGAGUUAACUAUGCAAGUGCAAAAUCCAUAUUCUGAUACGAUUUCAAAGUUCAGCCCGGUUUCGACAUGACAAAAACAACAGAAAAAAUAAAACAAUACAAUACAGUCCCAAAUUAUUUACAAUAUUACAGCAGUGUUACAGAAUCUAAAGUCCAGCAGAGUGACAUAAAAAUAUUAAACGAACACAAAUGAUAAACAAUAAUACGCAUCAAGUUGCAAAAAAAAAUCGGAGCCGAAUCGUUUGCUGAAAGCUGAAUAUUGUGAUGCUGCCUUACUGUUGUAUUUGCAUGUUGUUGUUGUCUUCCAUGGUGGCUUUGAGGAAACAAACAAAAAUGACUGGGAGUUUGUUGUAUGGUGAUAAAUGCUUGCGAUUUCAGUAUUGUUGUUGUUGGAUGGUUGCAUCCAAAAAGAUUAAUUAAUAAUUUGUACAAUUUAGCUAAUCAAUAUUUAUAGAUCCAGAGUUAUAAUUAUUAGUCAAAACCAAAAUAUCUAAGUUUAAUUUCAUUCUGAA